rnacentral:lncRNA from 1 species
GCCUGUCCUAGCUCCUGGUGGCAGCAGCAGUGGCUACAGCUGCAGCAGUGUGACAAAGGGGAGAGAAGGUCCUGCUGUCUAUGGGCAAGCCUGAGCACAGAGGCUGCUCUGCUGGUGGGGGUGGGGUCACUUCUCUCAGCCCCAGACUGUCAGCUCUCAGGAUUAUCCACCUCGGCUCCUGGUUGCAGCAACUGCUGUGGCAGUAUGUGGAGCGAGCACCUCUGGCUCCCAACUUCUCCUGACUGAGCUGGCCACUCGCUUCCUUCUCCUCUGUGCCUCAGGCGCUUGCUGAGACUUCUCUGUUGGACUCUAGUGCUCUCUCCUGGAUGUUCUAUUCGAGCUCUGCCGCACUAAGCUCUCUACAUGGCCGAGGCACCAGACCAGAAUGCGCCCUUUCGACAGGCAGAGAGAGCCAAAGGGGAAAAGAGCUGAGUCAAGGCUGCCAAGUUCCUGCUUCCAGCCCUACCAGCCGGUCACUCGCGCCUUGCAAUGAGGAAACCAGGAGUCCUAUCUAGAGCCUUUCCAUAGUUGUGGGAAAGAAGAUGGGUAAAGUUAUUGUUAAUCUACAGAGGAAGGAAUGAUGCCAAGUUUUUCAAGGCUUCCAGAGUCACAGGAGGAGUCACUUGGUAAAUCCAGGAGCAGAAACCAGGUACCAGUUGGAAGACCACAAUGUGUUUGUUCAGACCUGUGGGCCUCCUGGAUCCUUAGCAAAAGACCACACAGACAAGUGUUGAAUGCAGCUUUUAAAAGUAUGGAAGGGACAGUAAGACAGUUCUAAGCGUGGACUAGAAUAUAAUUUAAGGUUUCUGUGACACGGUGUUAGGACUCUUUCCUAGAAUUAUGAGAGCUGAACUAACAGCUCCCAGAUAACUGAAGCAUAAUAAUUAAUCUAGAAAAGCGGCCUCUUCUUUUCUGUGGUUGAACCUAAGUGUAGUUUUUACUUUUAACUAAAACUAGGUCAAUUAAGACCAUUGGAAUUCUGUGACUGAGGAUGUGUGGUGUUUAUUGGGGAUUUAAAAUAAGAUUUUUGUUCUUUUAUAAAUUUUAAUAUAAAUAGAUUGUUUUCCCUAUAGUAUUUAGUGUUAAUUAAUGGGGCUGACACAAUUAAUGGCAUCAAGAACAUAUAAUUAUGUUUAUUAUACUAAGAAAUUAUGCAAUUACGUAGUUGUUUAAUAGGUUAAGUGAUCUUAUAGAUAUUUUUAUCGUUUUUGCAACAGCUUUAUCCUGAUUUCUUUGUGAGAAAGCUUUUAAUGUUUCAAAAAUGUUGAGACAGACUUUUGUUAAAUUAAUCGCAUGAAAAAUAGUAUAUCUUUUUCAGUAACUGGGGAUUUUCAUAAAAGCCAUCAAAGAUAUAAUAUUAGAAGAUCUGCUGUUAAGAUAGCUGUUGUCAUAAAAAACUGUUGAUGAAUUUUGAAUUUUGACUAUUAACUGUCCAUGCUAAUCAGAUAUUCAGAGAACAAUAAACAGCAUUUGCUAAAUUCAUUUUUAA